GGUGUUCCCAAGUGGAUCUCCUCCCCAGGGGAAGAGUCCUAGCUGACCUGAAACUUCAUCCCUUCCAGAAUGUUGAUUCAGCUCCUUCAGCGGUAAUAGUCCACCAUGUUAGCUUGAGUCAAGAGCUAAUGAGGUCAAGGUAGAGACAACACUCCUCCUGAAUAGCUUUUCUUCAAAAGGAGAAGGAAGGCACACCAACAAUUUGACUAACACUACAACAGACUAAAGUAAUUCAUGAAGGAGUGUGAUGGUUAAUUUUGUGUCAACUUGACUAGACCAUUGCAGUAUCUAGAUAUUUGGCUAAACAUUUUUUCUGGGUGUGUCUGGGAGGAAGGUGUCUAAAUGAGAGUAGCAUUUGAACAGUGGACUCUGUAAAGCAGAUUGCCCUUCUCAAUGUGGGUGGUCCUCAUCCAAUCCCUUGAGAGCCUGAAUUGAACAACAAGGCUGAGAAAGGGAGAAUUUGCACUCUCUCUGCCUGGCUGCUGGGCGAGGACACCUGUCUUUUUCCCCUGGUCUGGGACUUACACCAUUGUCUCUCCUAGUCCUCAGGCAUUUGAGCUGGAGUGAACCAUGUCUUCAGCUCUCCUAGGUUUCCAGCUUGCAGAUAGCAGAUAUGGUGGGACUACUCAGCCUCCAUAAUUUACAAACAGAAUUUUCCUCUCACCAAGGACAGUCACAUCAUUUAAGAUGAUAAUGUUACCACACUGUGCACCCAAGUGAGGAAAAAAGAGAAGACGUGUGCAAGAGAGCCCUGAGAUCUGGAACAGUAGCCCUGCCCCGGACAUGUCACGCUGGCAUGAACAAGCAAGACCUAAAAGGCAAAAAAAGUUCUCACCACAGCUGUUCCAACAGGAGACGUAUCUUCUCUGGAACUAUGAACCCAGUGAUUGUACACAAAUAAGCUUUUGCCACCACCGUGCUCGGCUGAGGACAACAAUAGGUUGAUACGAAAUUAUUCGGCUCAUUAUUUCUGUAGCACACACAGAAAGAGAAAGAAAGAAAGAAAACACCUCUGUUAUCUCGCACCUGAUCAUUUUCAAAGUAUAAACCCCCGUGAAGAACGCGGAGCUGGCCACGCCCCAGCCCAGGCCCCCCAGACGCACAGUUGGGCGUUACUGAAGACGGCGCCCAGCCAGUCCAGGAGCUCGGGGGCGCUGCAAGCCGCCCCCGGGGCUCCCCCCAGCUCGCCGCUCCGCAGCACCGGGCACUGCAGCUCGCUCGCCGUGCUCAGGGCCACUCGCGGCUGCCGCUCCUGAAUUCCGUAACUGGAAAAGUACGACAUCAUCCUUGAUUCUUCUGCACCUUAGAACACACCAUAAAAGGCCAUGUGAGUACUGGAAACAAGUUCUGCGAAUCCCUGGAACCACCCCAUUCCCUCCCGACAGUUCCGGGGAGCAGGCAGGAUGAAGUAAAGCAGAGGGAGGGUGUGCAAAGCUGUAUUCAAAUUAAAAUCAUUUAAGUUGCUUUGGGCUCCUUGGUGCCAAAGUUCUGUAAACAUUCGCUUUCUUUCACUUUUCCUGGAAACGCGUAACCCUUUCACGUCCAACCUAUAGUAGUAUCAUAGGUGCCCUAAUCUGAGAAUUUUGACUGACUAAAUAAAAAAGCACCACUCGUGUAUAAAUAAAAUUAGUGAACUCUACAGAGAGGAGCUUAUUUGCAUAAUCUCUCUAAAGGAAGCACAAGACGAACUGAACGAUGGCAGCAUCUCAUCUGAGCUUGUCUUUAAAAACCCAGUAAAAUCAAUGUAUCUUCACGGAUUUUCCAACAGCCUUGGGAGAAAGCGGUAGUGGCCCCCUUAGUGGGGGGAGCAACAGGCAGGCCUUCUUACUGUCCAGGGCAAUAGAAAUAAUCUGCUCUCCAUCUCAACCCCACCUACCCCCAUCCCCCACCACCAGGAGCAAAGGUCAGCAGGCUUACUGGCCAGUAUAAGACUGGAGUUCCGGAUUCCUCUUCUGUAAUGCAGCCCACUCCAUGCGCGGGUGUCACCUGGCCCACUGUGUAUCACCCUGUAGGUACUGGGACUUGGUGCACUACUGUAUAUGCUCAUAGUCCAGCCACUGACACUAUGAAUAAUUAAACCCUUUGCCUCUGACCUGAGUCUCGUACCUUCUGCCAGCAUCCAUGAGACUGUGCAGGCUAACUUCUUAGCUUACAAGUGGGGAAAAUCUCAGACCUUCCCCAGUUCCUGAUAAGCCCUUAGAAUAAUAUGGAGUCUUAGGGACACAGAACUCUCCAGAACCCAAUAUACAGAAGGUACUCAAUGAACACUUCGAGCAACUGAAAUGUCAGUCAGUGUCUCUGCCCUCUUGUAUCUCUACCAUAAGUAGGAGAAACACUGAAGCAUUCCAGACCCAUGCAAGCAACCUACAGCACCCAGUGACCAGAAACUUCCGAGGAAGAGCAGAUGGAUAGGCGUGAUCUCCAAAAUGGACCUAUGUGUCUCCCUAUUCUCCAAAACAGAGUACCACACCAUCAUAACUGAUGAUCUGACCCAUGACAAUCUUGUGAUGGACCAAAGAUACGCUCUAAAAGGACCAAGGCACAUGGCAGUUGUCAAAGACCAAGAGCAGAGGUCCUUGGGAAGUCAAUCCUAAAUCUACCUAUGGAUGUGGCAGCCUCACCUAUUCACGUUCAAGCCAGACACUAUCAGUAGAACCAUCUCUUUUCACUCACAGAUGCCGGAUAAACCAAUAAUUAACCUCACUGAUGCCUCAACUUCCACAUCUGCGGAAACGCGCCCCAUGCGGCUGACAUUUUUACGAAGCAAAAGCCAAAGUUACCCCCCCGCCCCCCGUAAAGCUCUUAAAUUGUGCUUGCAAACAGGGACACCACGACUCAUUUCACUCUAAACCUGACAACCUAGCGCGCUCCAGCUGGAGACCACAGAAGUUAACAGGCAAAGUGGAAACUUUUCUCAGAGAUAAAACUAGUUCCUCUAAACAGUUUAGAAAAGCAUGUGCUUCCUGGGUCUGGACUCGGCAAGAUGCUCCCAUGAGGUGGGAGAAAGAAUCAAGAGGUGGGGGGGGGGGGGGCGCGAGGCCACAAUUUGGAGCCAGUCCGCGGCUCCACGUGGCAUACGUCACAGCGUCUCUACUCCAGAGGCCCGUGCCUGACUUUUUCCUCCCAAGAAAGUGUUCCACCGGGGGCGGGGCCAAAGUAGCCAGCGACGCUUUGGAAUCGGCCCGGAGCAAAUCGCCCAGCCCCUCCUUGCGAGGACAGGACACUGCCCCUACUCCCGGCGCAUCCUGGGAGUUGUAGUCCUGCAGCUCUGCAAGCUACCAGCUCGGAGUAGUAUAGAGACUACAGCUCCCAAAGUGCCUAGCGCGGGGCCCCGCCCCUCUUCGCGCUGAGGGCGGGCUCCUCACUGAACGCGACUUUCCCCACAUCUCUCCAGCUCCCGGAGACGGGGUGCUUCCUGAGUGGCCCACGACGGCCAGACUCACCCUGUAAUUAUGGUAGUGCGUCUCCACAAGAUGCCGGUGGCGCGACUUGUCAUGGCCGAAGUUGGAUUUCUCGCAGACCAGCAAGUGUCGGGGAACCUCUCGCAGCCUGCGCAGUGUGGCCAUGCUUUCUCCGGCACAAGCCCUGAGCGAGGUCGGGGAGCCCAGUCCCUCCGCUUCGCUCCGCCCCUCCGCCUGGCCCCGCGGGCAUGCGCAUUGCAGCUGCGCAGUGCCGGUUGAAGCUGCUCGGGCUUGGUGACCGGUUAGGGGUGAGGGCGGGCCUGGGUUUCUUCGGAAGCUUAGGUUCCUGAACCUUGGGUACCUGAAACCGCAAAUUCAUUGCCUACAGGGGAAAUACCUGGUACCUGGAAACCUGGAACUUGCUUUUUCAAACCCACCUUUCUCGCCAAGACCUCCGUCCCUCCCUGCUGCUGUCUUGCCGUAUAUCCUCCCUCUGUUCCUUCACAAGUGGUUUAGGAGUUUUGUGCAGGAAGAUAAUACACAAUUUCUGUUUUCGGCCCUACAAUACGACUCCGUCGGAACCACUUUAAGAUCCCUUUUUAAAAAUACCACCUGAACGGCUUUAAAAAUUUUGUUACUAUUGUUACAAUGUGAGAAUUUGUUUUUCCAUAAUUUUUCUGAUCAAGUACUAUACGUUUCUCAAGCUGGAGUAUGCACAGCCCCAAUUCUGUGCUGAGAGGAUGCAAAACAGCAGACCAUCUGUGGUACAACUGUCUGGAGCAUCAAUUUUACUGUAAGAUUUGGAACAACCGAAGUUACGUAAUUUACAAGGUGGGAACAGCAGGGAAGGUGGUGCUGGGAACUGUAACUAUUGAAGACACCAGUAAUAAAUUAGAGGACUCCAUCCUGCCAAGCCUAAACUUGACCUCACAGUCUUUAUCAGCACUGGGCUCCAGGCAGCUGCCACGAAUGGACGGGUGUUGGGGUACAAGAUCAAAACUACCCUAUGAUGGCAGGCAGCCUGGGAACUGGAUCCAGCAGGUACAGUGGAAAAAAUCAGCGGCCCCCAAGAAUAUAUGAUGCACUCCAAGUGAGGACUUGAAUCCCUGGAGUUUUGGGAAGGGCUCAGAGCCAGACUGCUUCAUGUCCUCUCCCUCUGACUGGUUGGGAAUCGAUGGAACAUGCAAACAUAUUAACACUGGCAGCUGUGUGGACUGUGUCAACACAUGGAAGUGCACAAAUGGAGUAUUUUAAAACAGAACACAAUGUUAUAUGUCAAUUGUAUCUCAAUAAAUCUGGGGGAGAAAAGCAGAACCCAAAACAGUCA